CCUUUAAUACACCUUCAACAACUUUCUCUCUCCAUCAAGAAUCCACUGUCAACCCUUUCCCUCACCCCCUCUCUCUCUAGACUCUUUUCUAUCUCCAUGAAAGCCCUUACCUGAGUUCCUGAAAAAUCUGGUAGUUCUCUCAUACUUGCAUGUAAGGCUUCCAAACACAAUAAAACCUAUGCUUUUUCAUGAAAAACCAUGUCAAAUUCUCAAUGAUCUGUUCACUCUGAGGAAGCAGGUCAUUUUCUCUCUCUAGGUACAGUUACAUCUCUCUCUCUGAAAUGAGAGUUUCAGAUAGAGGUUAAUUGUGUCCAUUAAUACCUGAGCACUUUCAUUGUGUUAUUGAAGUUUCCGAGGAAACCCACAUCACAAAAUCAACCCAAAUUCAAUGGUUCUUUCUCUCUCUAAAGGAAGGUUCUUAGGAAACCCAUUUCAAGAUCCAAGUUUCUACUGUUCUUGUUCUUUUGUUGAAGAUUUGCAACUUCCAUAGAAAACCCACAUCAAAUCAGAGCCAUCUUUUUUCCUCGCUUCAGUUGGAGUAAUCUGUUUCCAUGAAAAUCCACUUCAAAUGCUCAAAAGUUUGAAGGAGAAGACUCUCUCUUUCUAGGGAAAUAAAGCCCAUCUUUUUCUUUGAUAACGGACAGAGAAGAGAGUAAACUCUGCAGGUUCUUUCUCUCUCUAGAAAACAACCAAAGAGAGAGAAUCAUCGGCAUCAGCUCUACGAAACAAUAAAGAGAAGAGGGGAGAGAAAAUAGAGUUCUCUCUAGAAUUGCAGAGGAAGAGAACCCACAAGUGUGAGAAAAUUUACCAAUCCCCACAACAAAAAGCACAAUUAAGUGGACUUCCUCUUUCUCUCUCUAGAUUUUGAUCUCUCUGGAAGGAGGAAGGUGAGGAACGAGAGGAAGAGAGAGAGUGAAAAUGCAGGACCAAGCCCAAAUGAUCUCUGAUAAGAGGGCUUUGAAACCCCAAAGCUUUAUUGAUCAAGAGCAGCAACAACUCAAAUGCCCUCGAUGCGAAUCCAUGAACACCAAGUUUUGCUAUUACAACAAUUACAAUCUCUCUCAACCUCGCCAUUUCUGCAAAAAUUGCAGAAGAUAUUGGACAAAAGGAGGAGCUCUUCGGAACAUUCCAGUUGGUGGGGGAAGCCGGAAAAACACGAAACGUUCAGCUUCCUCGACUGCUCGGCCAAAGGCUGUGGCUGCGCCGGAAAAUGAACCAGUGGUCGGAAAUUUGGCCGGGAAAUUGGCCGGGAUCUACAGUGGGGUCCGUGAGGAGGAGGUGAAAAUGAUGGAGAUAACAGGGAGUUUCAGUUCUCUGCUGAAUUCAGGUGAAAGGGGGUUUUGGGGUUUGCCGGAAAGCGGAGAUAGCGGGGCACCAUUGAUGUUGCAGAAUGAAGCUUGGAUUGGAGCGGCGUGGGGGCCUGAUCUUGCCAUGUACACGCCUGGCACUGCUGGUUUACAGUGAGUAGUAGAGUGAUUUUUGCACAGUUAUGGAUGACGAUUUUCAACUCGUUUUACUUAGUGGGGGUUAUAAUGGUAUUGGAUGUUAGGGAAGGAGUCUGAUAAAAUGUGAUCCCAGCUGAAUAAUUGUCGGCCAUUUUCAUAGUAUUAUAAUGCAUAUUUAACUUUUUUUUAUACUCAAAGUUAUAUUUCUUUUGCUUGUUUUAUCUUUACUGUAUGCAGGGCCCUCUCUCUCUAUCUUUCUCUCUCUGGGGUUUUGGUGUUUUAUUUGUUAGGCAUGAAUUGUGUACAGAGCUGAAUAAUUAUUAAUGACUUCAGGUUUUUAUCUGCAAA